GUUAUUGUUAAUAAUGUUAAUAAUGAUAAAUGUAAGAGUAAAUCAUCAUCGACAGCUCUCCCAUCCAUCGUUGGAUGUAAAUCUCCCUUCGUUAUGUCGAUUCAUUUCUGUUCGUUGUUUUUUGCAUCUUUUUGUGACCAGCCCUUGGCUUUUGAUGUCAUCAGUACAUUUUUCGCAUUAUUUUAAUACUUUUUAAAGUAGAGAGUUGAAGAAUAUAUAUAUAUGAAAGAAAACGGCUAUUGCAUUUCCGACAUCCUACACGACGUGUUUCGCAGUCAUUUCAACCGCUUGUCAGGGACAUCUAGGUGGAUGGUCAAAGCGUAACAAAAUGCAUUGGGCCUUCCUGGUAAUAAUAAAAUAACCAGACUUCAGUACACUAGGUACGACUUCUAUAUGAAAUAAACGAAAAGAUUUCUCUGGUAUACAAAAGAAACCUUUUCCGCAGCGGACGUGAAAAUGUAAAUUCAAAGUCUUGAUAAAAGACGAUGAACGGCAAAAGAUACCUCUUUGUAUCACAGAUUUGCCUACAAAGCCACGUUAAUCGCUACACAUUCGUCAAUUACGGAGAAACCAUGAUAUGAAGAAAACGGCGAUUGUAUUUUAUUUCACUUCGACCACCACCGAUAUCCUACACGACGUGUUUCACAGUCAUUUCAACCGCUCGUCAGGGACAUCUAGGUGGAUGGUUGAAGCGUAACAAAAUGCAUUGGGCCUUCCUGGUAAUAAUAAAAUAACCAGACUUCAGUACACUAGGUACGACAUAUAUAUGAAAUAAACGAAAAGAUUUCUCUGGUAUACAAAAGAUAUCUUUUCCGCAGCGGACGUGAAAAUGUAAAUUUAAAGUCUUGAUAAAAGACGAUGAAAGGCAAAAGAUACCUCGGCUAAAGAAAGGCAAAGAGGAAGAAGAAGAAAACCUAAUUAUCUAAUUGUACAAUAAUUUGUAUGCAUAAAAUUUGUCAAUUUGUAUUACGUUAAAAUAGUUUGUUUUUAAAGUAUUUAAUUUUUUGUAUUCACCAUGUAAAAUAGGUACCGAUUGAAAUUACCCAGUGAUUUAGAUUAAUAAUGGUAAAAUAGUUCUAUGAAUUUUGGACAAUGUUUACAAUAGAAAGUGGUUCUAAGAACAAUUCGCGGGUGAAUGAGAAUAUACGAAAGACGGUGUUGUUAUCGGAGAUUACCAGAACUAUUUGGAAAAAGUCGGGAUGCCCGAUUUCCUAGAAAAUAUCAAAAGUAAUGACAAUUGGUAAUUUGGAUACGGUGAGAUAUGAAGAAGAGGUAUAUUGAUGUUGGCCAAUAGAACUGAAGGGAUAUCAUCGAUGGAAGGGGAAGUGAGAAGACAGUUUUUGGCAAGAGAGAAGAAGGGAAGGUGUUCCCGACAGCAAAAAGGAGCAGUUUGUGUUGAAAAAAAAAUAGUGUCUGUCUUCGUUAAUCAAAACCUUAUAGGCACCCGUAAGCAAAAAGUACUAAGUAAAAGUUUUUUAAGUUAACAUUAAAUUCAGUGACAAGUAGUAGCAGUUGUACUAAGGUAUUCAAACUUAUAUAAUAUCUCUCUAUCAAUAUUAUCUGUUGCGAAUAUUUCGGUUUUCUUUAGUUUCAUCGACCGACGUCUACAUAAAGACUCCAGUGUAAUUGGACAUAAACUUUUACAUAAACAAUUUCGCAAUUUUUUUAAAUUGACUUUUGUUUACCAGUUAUAAUUCAUUUUUGCAUCUAUACUGGGUAACUUUGUAUUUUAGAAUAAUUUGCGGUAGUUUUCAUAUUCGUUUACAUUUAUUUUACAUAAUCAUUUCAUAGCUUGUGUGUUUUACAGUUUUAUUCUAUUAUUAAAAUUUGUAUUUAAUUCUUUGGUAUACUCAAUUUUUGUUAAUAUACGGUUAUAUUU
rnacentral:lncRNA from 1 species